GUUGGUGAUUCGUCGCAAGGGUCACACCUCUUCCCAUUCCGAACAGAGAAGUUAAGCCUUGCCAUACCGAUGAUACUCAUAAUGGGGAAAGUAGGUUAUCGCCAGCA
rnacentral:rRNA from 1 species